rnacentral:snRNA from 1 species
GGAUGUGAGGGCGAUCUGGCUGCGACAUCUGUCACCCCAUUGAUCGCCAGGGUUGAUUCGGCUGAUCUGGCUGGCUAGGCAGGUGUCCCCUUCCUCCCUCACCGCUCCAUGUGCGUCCCUCCCGAAGCUGCGUGCUCGGUCAAAGAGGACGACCUUCCCCGAAUAGAGGAAGACCGGUCUUCGGUCAAGGGUAUACGAGUAGCUGUGCUCCCCUGCUAGAACCUCCAAACAAGCUCUCAAGACAAACUCUAGCCAGUUACAGGUGAUUAUGACCCUCCCAAUGUGGGUACAGGGAAAUGAACUUUGAUCCUCUGAAAAAGCAGUUGUACUUAGCUGCUAAGAUGU